rnacentral:snoRNA from 1 species
GCUGCGUAUUGGUAGAGCUUGGAGUUGAGGCCACCAACUGGCCAAUGAACUCACAAGUGUAGGUAGUGUGCUACAUAUACGGCAAGUUUUUACUACACCACAGGGUCUCUAGCCCANNN